GCUGGGUGCAGUGGCAUAUGCCUGUCAUCCCAGCAGCUUGGGAAGCUGAGGCAGGAGGAUCGCAAGUUCACAGUCAGCCUCAGCAACUUAGUGAGACCCUAAGUAACUUAGUGAGAUUCUGUUUCAA
rnacentral:sRNA from 1 species